UACGAAGGGUGCAAACGUUGCCCGGAAUCAUUGGGCGUAAAGCGCACGUAGGCGGCUUUGCAAGUCGGAUGUGAAAUCCCUCGGCUCAACCAAGGAAGUGCAUCCGAAACUGCAGAGCUUGAGUACUUAAGAGGAUCGCGGAAUUCCCGGUGUAGAGGUGAAAUUCGUAGAUAUCGGGAGGAACACCAGUGGCGAAGGCGGCGAUCUGGGAAGAUACUGACGCUGAGGUGCGAAAGCGUGGGGAGCAAACAGG
rnacentral:rRNA from 1 species